CCUUUUCGUGAUAUGAAUUGAGGGAACAUGUACUCUUACAUUUUGCUUCUAAAACUGUCAAUUGUUAGAAGUUUUUUUGGAAAGCAAUCUGGAAAAAUCUGUUGGAAUUUAUUAAAUGCAUGUACCCAUCGAACAAUCCAUCCCUGAGGAUUUAGCUCAAAGAAAUACAUGUACCAAUACAUAAGGCUAUAGGAAAAAAAGGUUUAAGAUGAUUUAUAAUUCAAAAGCAAAACCAAAAAACUGGCAAUUUAGUGAAUGUCUAUCCACACCAGGGUCUAUUAUCUACUUCUAAAGAGACUGAAUUGGAGCUAU
rnacentral:lncRNA from 10 species